CUUUAUAUACUUGAAAAAACGAACUCCAACUUUGAGACUAGCGGCUUGACUUGGCUCGAGAGCCAAGGCGGGCAGCAGACCUUCUCUCUCACAUUACAAGACAACAUAAUAUCUCUCUUUUCUCUCUUUGCUUUCUCUUAAAGUACCACAGAAAAAAUGUGUGGCGGUGCCAUUAUUCCCGACUUCGUUGAUCUGAAAUGUAGCCGAAAUUGACAGCGGAAGACUUAUGGUCGGAAGUUGACACCAAUUUAGACCUCUUGGGCUUGGACUACGCUAAAUAGUUUGAAGCUCAAAAGCCUGCCAAGUGAGGAAUGAAAAUGGUGAAAAGAAGAGGCAGAUGGAGUAUAAACCUAAGACUCAACGAACUCGGAAGCACUGUACAGAGGAAUAAGGCAGAGGCCAUGGGGGAAGUGAGCGGCUGAAAUCAGAGAUCCUCACAAAGGAGCCCGAGUCUGGCUUGGUACCUGCAACACAGUCGAAGAAGCUAGCAGAGCCUACAAUGAAGCCGCCAAGCGCAUACGUGGCGACAAGGCCAAGCUCAACUUUCCUGACAACCACCACCUCAAGCUAAAUCUCCGCCUAGAAGCACGAGUUUUGAAUAGACUCGUUUGUUCUUGUCAAACUUGGCUCGUGAUCAGACUUGUUAAGCCUAUCCAAGCCAGACUUGUGAGUGGCUUGCAAGUAGUUUGGCUCGUGAGUGAGCCAAAUUCAAAAAUUGAAUUUUUUGACUUGCCGAGCCUGAGUUGGGGCUCGUUUUAGUAAUAAUUGAGUCGAGUUUAAGUUUGGUUGAGCUUAAGGUCGAUUCUGUUUGAAUUC